AACGAACGCUGGCGGCAUGCCUAACACACGCAAGUCGAACGAGACCUUCGGGUCUAGUGGCGCACGGGUGCGUAACGCGUGGGAACCUGCCCUUAGGUUCGGAAUAACUCCCCGAAAGGGGUGCUAAUACCGGAUAAUGUCUUCGGACCAAAGAUUUAUCGCCUUUGGAUGGGCCCGCGUUGGAUUAGCUAGUUGGUAGGGUAAAAGCCUACCAAGGCGACGAUCCAUAGCUGGUCUGAGAGGAUGAUCGGCCACACUGGGACUGAGACACGGCCCAGACUCCUACGGGAGGCAGCAGUGGGGAAUAUUGGACAAUGGGCGAAAGCCUGAUCCAGCAAUGCCGCGUGAGUGAUGAAGGCCUUAGGGUUGUAAAGCUCUUUUACCCGGGAUGAUAAUGACAGUACCGGGAGAAUAAGCUCCGGCUAACUCCGUG
rnacentral:rRNA from 1 species